CGGAACACACCGCCCUCACGGGAAUGGGCUCAGACCGGGGGUUUUGGGGCCGGGACACGGCCGAGGCCCCACAGUAACAACCCCACAGAGCGCUUGGCGAGCUGCGGUAGGUAACCUGUGCUGAGAGAGCCACGCUGGAAAUCCGAGUUUUGUUUCGUAAGUGGGUCAGAAAACUUGAGAAUACAUGAAUUAAUAAAAAGAGCUGCUUGGAGAAUCUAUUUUUCAAAAGAAGAAGCCGUGGAGGUGUUUUGCAGUCAUAGUGUUUCAUUUUCUUGGAAGAAGAAUGCAUUACAACAGCAAAAAUCUGAUGCACUUUAGAUGUAGCUUCUCUUUAUUUAGGUAGCAGUGUCUAAUGGCAGCUGAUUUAAAAGAAAUUUAUAUGGACAAAAUCAAGACUUUGGAAGACUUCAUUUAAUUUGACAGGCUAUUUCUGAUAACCCUGGUGACUCAAUUGUUCAAAAUGGCAAAAAUCAUGUUAGACACUUCCUGUGUCUUACACAGGGACUAAGGCGGGGAACUUUCAGAAACUUCCAGAUGAAUGAGAAAAACCCAAGCAGUGUCACUCAAGAACUAUUGCUCUGACAGUUUGCCUCUCUCAAAAAUAAAGUUCUACACACAUCCUCACCUGAUUUCACUGGACCUUUGUCUUAUUCCUAAAUUCCUGUGAUUAAAUCAACAUGUAAAGAACAUAAAUAUCCCAUAAGAACACAGUGACCUGGACAUCUCAGCAACAUUUCCAUAUUUAUCUUCAUAAUCCUGAACAUUUUAAAAUCAGACAGAAAAGUGCCAUCAAUACACCAGUACAGAAAACACUGAACUGAAGGCAAACAGAUCCCAUUGAGGUUUUUGGCUGGCACAGCUACAAACCCUCAUUGCCAAAUCGUGCUGGACAUGGAAUGGGACAGUCACCGCUGCAGGGAAGGGGAACAGUCACAGCUGCAGCACGGCAGAUCUUCGCUGUAAAUUAAAAGGCUUUUCUAUUUAAAUAGGGAAGCGUUCUAGGGAACCAACUCAGCACAAGCUCUUCCUGUGUAAACAAUGGAUAGGGGUUUCCACUCUGCUCUUGCCAGGACACUCACCACGGCUUUUACAGACAUUCAAAUAAGCCUGCAAAAUCACCCUAUUUCCGAUAAAAAUCCAGGAAAAACGAUUUGUCGUUCCUUUGGGAAGCCAAGGAGUAACAACAACAUAGACAAAGCUGAGCUUUCAAGUUUUAAGAAAGGCACUUGAUGUUGCUGUAGAGAUGGCGGUGAAUCCAGCCCAAGCCCAGGGGCACGGAGGUGACAAGGGGCAGAUGGCAAGGGACAGGUGACAAGGGACAGGUGACAAGUGGCAGGUGACAAGGGACAGGGGACAGGUGACAAGGGGCAGAUAACAAAGGGCAGGGGACAGGUGAUGGGGGCAGGUGGCAGGGGGCAGGUGACAAAUGACAGGGGACAGGUGACAAGGGACAGAUAACAAAGGGCAGGGGACAGGUGAUGGGGGCAGGUGACAGGGGGUAGGUGACAAGGGUCAGGGGACAGGUGACAGAUAACAAAGGGCAGGGGACAGGUGAUGCGGGCAGGUGACAAGGGGCAGGUUACAGGUGACAAGGUGACAAGUGACCCGCUCACACAGCAGUGAGCCGCUGCCCGCUCGCCGCGCACCUCCAGAGCGGCAUCACCCGGCCAUGCCCGCCCGCGCUUCCCCCGCUGCGCUCCCGCUCUGCAGCGCUCCGGCAGCCCUGGAGCAGCGCCCCGGCCCCCGCCCGGCCCC